GAUGAACGCUGGCGGCGUGCCUAAUACAUGCAAGUCGAGCGAACGGACGAGAAGCUUGCUUCUCUGAUGUUAGCGGCGGACGGGUGAGUAACACGUGGAUAACCUACCUAUAAGACUGGGAUAACUUCGGGAAACCGGAGCUAAUACCGGAUGAUAUUAUGAACCGCAUGGUUCAAAAGUGAAAGACGGUCUUGCUGUCACUUAUAGAUGGAUCCGCGCUGCAUUAGCUAGUUGGUAAGGUAACGGCUUACCAAGGCAACGAUGCAUAGCCGACCUGAGAGGGUGAUCGGCCAUGCUGGAACUGAAACACGGUCCAGACUCCUACGGGAGCCAGCAGUAGGGAAUCUUGCGCAAUGGGCGAAAGCCUGACGGAGCAACGCCGCGUGAGUGAUGAAGGUCUUCGGAUCGUAAAACUCUGUUAUUAGGGAAGAACAUAUGUGUAAGUAACUGUGCACAUCUUGACGGUACCUAAUCAGAAAGCCACGGCUAACUACGUG
rnacentral:rRNA from 1 species